CACAUGCAAGUCGAGCGAGACCUUCGGGUCUGGCGGCGGACGGGUUAGUAACGCGUGGGAACGUGCCCUUCACUACGGAAUAGUCCUGGGAAACUGGGUUUAAUACCGUAUACGCCCUUCGGGGGAAAGAAUUUCGGUGAAGGAUCGGCCCGCGUCUGAUUAGGUAGUUGGUGGGGUAAUGGCCUACCAAGCCUACGAUCAGUAGCUGGUUUUAGAGGAUGAUCAGCAACACUGGGACUGAGACACGGCCCAG
rnacentral:rRNA from 1 species